GAUUGUCAGGCUGCAACUCGCCUGCAUGAAGUCGGAAUUGCUAGUAAUCGCAGGUCAGCAUGCUGCGGUGAAUACGUUCCCGGGCCUUGUACACACCGCCCGUCACACCAUGGGAGUCGGUAACACCCGAAGUCGGUAGCCUAACCGUAAGGAGGGCGCCGCCGAAGGUGGGAUUGAUGACUGGGGUGAAGUCGUAACAAGGUACC
rnacentral:rRNA from 1 species